GAGAGCCCCGACACCGGCCCCUGCCACUCACAGGAACCCUUGGAACAACAUGGAGACCCUCCCAUCAACACCUGUGAGGAGUCACCAUUUCAAACUGGCCACGACACCGGCCAGGAAGAGAGCUCAGACGAGCAACUGAGCGAGGAGGAGGAGGACCUUGAGGAGCGCUCGACUGGAAGACUGUUCAGGGCAGUACCCUGCCAACAUCUACCUUCCGUUGCCCUCCUCGACACCAGUCCCCUCCCUCCCACCCCUUCCUUCGACUCAAGCCCCGCCCUCCCACAACUUAGU